UGCUCUCUGCCCUAUCUGCUGGUUUCCUUGGUAAUUGAUGAGCCAAUCUGACGUCAUUUCCCCCUAUGACUAGUAGCCUCUUUCUCCCUGGAGGAGUGAGGAUGGCUGCCAGCUAGCAGUCCUGUCUGCCAUCUGCCAUACACAGUGGUGGUCUAGGACCUUCCUUCAGACUGGUUGUUCCUGAGACCUUUCCAAGGCGGACAAUGCCUGCUCUGGCUUACCACCUGCAGAAACAUCUUGGCUUCCUCAGCAACCUGGCAAACUCUCACCACCCAGUGUCAUCUGCAAAUACACAUUUUCCAAUGAAAAAAAGUCAACUAAUGAUCAAGUUUAAAAAGGAAUUCUGUUUGAGCCAAACUGAGGAGUCUAACCCAGAAAGCAAAUUCUUAGAAACCUCUGAGAACUGUCCCACCGGUUAGAAGUUGAAGGCAUAGAUACACAUUUUUGAGACAAAGAAUUGUACAUCAAAAUGACAUGCUGAUAUUUUACAUAAAAUUCAUGAAGGACAUAUAGUCUGGGUAAGCACAAAUGAAGCGAGCAGCAAGUCACCACAACCCCCAGCAGAGCUGGAAAAGAACAUUAUUCUUUGGAGAAGUUACCUUGCUCGGGACUUCCCUGGCAGUCCAGUGGUUUCGACUUUGUGCUUCCGGUGCAAGGGGCACUGUUUCAAUCAUUGGAUAAGGAACUAAGAUUCUACAUGCUGUGUGACACAGCCAACGGGUUUUUUUUUUUUUUUUUUUUAAGUUACAUUGUUAGUGUCAGAAGAAAGAAGAAGAAAAAAUUGAUCUUUAGGGUCGAGCAGACAUUCCUGUCUUUGAGCAGGUCUGGUUAAUGUGUAAUAAAGGCCUGAACAGGAUUUUGGGUUUAAUGUUUUUUGUCCUGCCUUUAAAUUUGAUUCCAUCAGAGGUAUGAAUGCCAGAGAGCUUCCAAGCUUGGAACUUGUCAAGGACAAAUGGAUAUGUUAAGUGUCUUUUCCAUAAAUAUUAGUAAAAACUGUGGUGACCCAAGGACAAAAGAGCAGAUAAAACCAAGGAAGGUCUUGGAAUGCAGGAACAGGAAAACCAGACCCUUAUUGUCCUUCCCUCCCCCAUGUUGUAAGGUCCUCCUGAGCAGUAUAACUUUCUCCCCUCCUACGCCAUAGGGAGAAGGUAUUUGCCUUACUCUUCCCCCCCACCCAGUAUUCGUGCCUCAUCCAAUCAGCAAAUGACCCGCAAGACCCCUAUCCCACUCCUUGUACCCUGGGUAUAAAAGUGGACUAAGGACCCCUGUUCAACGUCAGUUCUCCCCUGAGCUGGCCUGCUAUUCUAAUAGCGUCUCCUGUUCUAAAAAAACUUUACUUCCCUCUCAUCCUGUCUCUUGUCUGGAAAUUCUUUUCCAACCCGUGCACGGACCAUGACAGAAAGGAGUUAGCCAUACACCCAGGUGACAUUGAUUCGUUCCAUUUGUCAGAAACCCAACUGGAGUCUAACCUCUUUUGUUAUACUGUUGUACCUGAUUCUGAAAUUUUGGAAUGGGAAUGUGGGGCCUUUUUACUGAGUCCAAGCUCACUCUGCUUGCUACACAACAGGCCAAUGCACCCAAGACUUGAGGUGUUGAGGCAAGGAAGAGACUUUAAUUGGGGAGCUGGCAGACCUAGAAAAUGGCAGGCUAGCGCCUCAAAAUAACCAUCUAACUGGGGUGUGGAUGCCAGGUUCUUUUAUAGAUCAGAGAGAAAGAAGCAAUGAGGAACUAAAGUCAAAAGGCAGAAUAGGAGGGAGAGGCAGUGGGGAAGUAAAGUGAAAGGGUCUUCAGUCUUGCAAAACAUCCCCAAGAGAAUGGUCAGCCUUUGGAAGGGGUGUGUUAAUCUCUUCUAUUCACAGGUUCAGUUCAGUUCAGUCGCUCAGUCAUGUCU
ensembl:lncRNA